CAGCAACUAGAGAAAGCCCAAGUGCAGCAACAAAGACCCAACGCAGCCAAAAAAAAAAAAAAACUAAGAGACACAACAUUCAGAGCAAUUGGAGGAGAAGAAGAAUGGAUAAUGGAUGGUGGCUGGUGGAAGAGGAGGUAUUCAUUCUUUGGAAGUACUCUUGGGACAGUCUCCUUUUAUUUUCUUCAGCUCCCUGAAGUGUUGGUAUUAAGAAUCAGAAGUGGGCUUCCCUGGUGGCACAGUGAUUGAGAGUCUGCCUGCCG